AUGAACAAAGCUAGUGGAGGUGAUGGAAUUCCAAUUGAGCUGUUUCAAAUCUUGAAAGAUGAUGUUGUGAAAGUGCUGCCCUCAAUAUGCCAGAAAAUUUGGAAAACUCAGCAGUGGCCACAGGACUGGAAAAGGUCAGUUUUCAUUCCAGUCCCAAAGAAAGGCAAUGCCAAAGAAUGCUCAAACUACCGCACAAUUGCACUCAUCUCACAUGCUAGUAAAGUAAUCCUCAAAAUUCUCCAAGCCAGGCUUCAGCAAUACGUGAACCAUGAACUUCCAUUUGUUCAAGCUGGUUUUAGAAAAGGCAGAGGAACCAGAGAUCAAAUUGCAAACAUUCGCUGGAUCAUGGAAAAAGCAAGAGAGUUCCAGAAAAACAUCUGUUUCUGCUUUAUUGACUAUGCCAAAGCCUUUGACUAUGUGGAUCACAAUAAACUGUGGAAAAUUCUUCAAGAGAUGAGAAUACCAGACCACCUGAUCAGCCUCUUGAGAAACCUGUAUGCGGGUCAGGAAGCAACAGUUAGGACUGGACAUGGAACAACAGACUGGUUCCAAAUAGGAAAAGGAGUACAUCAAGGCUGUAUAUUGUCACCCUGCUUAUUUAACUUCUAUGCAGAGUACAUCAUGAGAAACACUGGGCUGGAAGAAGCACAAGCUGGAAUCAAGAUUGCUGGGAGAAAUAUCAAUAACCUCAGAUAUGCGGAUGACACCACCCUUAUGACAGAAAGUGAAGAGGAACUAAAGAGCCUCUUGAUGAAAGUGAAAGAGGAGAGUGAACAAGUUGGCUUAAAACUCAACAUUCAGAACACUAAGAUCAUGGUAUCUGGUCCCAUCACUUCAUGGGAAAUAGAUGGGGAAACAGUGGGAACAGUGUCAGACUUUAUUUUGGGGGGCUCCAAAAUCAUUGCAGAUUGUGAUUGCAGCCAUGAAAUUAAAAGAGGCUUACUCCUUGGAAGGAAAGUUAUGACCAACCUAGAUAGCAUAUUCAAAAUCAGAGACACUACUUUGCCAACAAAGGUCCAUCUAGUCAAUGCUAUGGUUUUUCCAGUGGUUAUGUAUGGAUGUGAGUGCUGGACUGUGAAGAAAGCUGAGCACCUAAGAAUUGAUGCUUUUGAAGUGUGGUGUUGGAGGAGAUUCUUGAGAGUCCCUUGGACUGCAAGGAGAUCCAACCAGUCCAUUCUAAAGGAGAUCAGUCCUGGAUGUUCAUUGGAAGGACUGAUGCUAAAGCUGAAACUCCAAUACUUUGGCCACCUCAUGCAAAGAGCUGACUCAUUGGAAAAGACUCUGAUGCUGGGAGGGAUUGGGGGCAGGAGGAAAAGGGAAUGA
rnacentral:lncRNA from 1 species